UACGGAGGGUGCGAGCGUUGUCCGGAAUCAUUGGGCGUAAAGGGCGCGUAGGUGGCCUGUGCAAGCGUGCGGUGAAAGCUCGGGGCUCAACCCCGAGUCGGCCGUGCGAACUGCUGGGCUCGAGCACUGUAGAGGCAGGCGGAAUUCCGGGUGUAGCGGUGGAAUGCGUAGAGAUCCGGAAGAACACCGGUGGCGAAGGCGGCCUGCUGGGCAGUAGCUGACGCUGAGGCGCGACAGCGUGGGGAGCAAACAGG
rnacentral:rRNA from 1 species